GGGGAAUCUUGCGCAAUGGGCGGAAGCCUGACGCAGCGACGCCGCGUGAGUGAUGAAGGCCUUCGGGUUGUAAAGCUCUGUGGAGGGGGACGAAUAAGUCGUGGCUAACAUCCACGAUGAUGACGGUACACCUUUAGCAAGCACCGGCUAACUCUGUGCCAGCAGCCGCGGUAAGACAGAGGGUGCAAACGUUGUUCGGAAUUACUGGGCGUAAAGCGCGUGUAGGCUGCUUGGAAAGUCGGGUGUGAAAGCCCUGGGCUCAACCCAGGAAGUGCACUCGAAACUUCCGAGCUCGAGUUCUGGAGAGGGAAGCGGAAUUCUCGGUGUAGAGGUGAAAUUCGUAGAUAUCGAGAGGAACACCGGUGGCGAAGGCGGCUUCCUGGACAGUGACUGACGCUGAGACGCGAAAGCGUGGGGAGCAAA
rnacentral:rRNA from 1 species